UAACCAGAUCAGACUAGCGGGUAGGUGA
rnacentral:sRNA from 1 species